AUGGCUUCUUGGCCUUUUGGCUAAGAUCAAGCGAAGUAUCGGUUCUUGUCAGUUUAAUAUCUGAUACAUCCUCUGUCCAAGUAAGUUCAGAGAACUGAGCAUCCCUUGGAAAACUGGUCCAUAAAGUAAGUAUAUUAAAAAACCUAGUGCCUGUGGUAAUUAUACGUAAAUACCUUGGUGUCUUAGUAUCUCCAUGAUCACUUUUAAAUAA
rnacentral:snRNA from 1 species